UUUAUGGAGAGUUUGAUCCUGGCUCAGGAUGAACGCUGGCGGCGUGCCUAAUACAUGCAAGUCGAGCGAACGGACGAGAAGCUUGCUUCUCUGAUGUUAGCGGCGGACGGGUGAGUAACACGUGGAUAACCUACCUAUAAGACUGGGAUAACUUCGGGAAACCGGAGCUAAUACCGGAUAAUAUUUUGAACCGCAUGGUUCAAAAGUGAAAGACGGUCUUGCUGUCACUUAUAGAUGGAUCCGCGCUGCAUUAGCUAGUUGGUAAGGUAACGGCUUACCAAGGCAACGAUGCAUAGCCGACCUGAGAGGGUGAUCGGCCACACUGGAACUGAGACACGGUCCAGACUCCUACGGGAGGCAGCAGUAGGGAAUCUUCCGCAAUGGGCGAAAGCCUGACGGAGCAACGCCGCGUGAGUGAUGAAGGUCUUCGGAUCGUAAAACUCUGUUAUUAGGGAAGAACAUAUGUGUAAGUAACUGUGCACAUCUUGACGGUACCUAAUCAGAAAGCCACGGCUAACUACGUGCCAGCAGCCGCGGUAAUACGUAGGUGGCAAGCGUUAUCCGGAAUUAUUGGGCGUAAAGCGCGCGUAGGCGGUUUUUUAAGUCUGAUGUGAAAGCCCACGGCUCAACCGUGGAGGGUCAUUGGAAACUGGAAAACUUGAGUGCAGAAGAGGAAAGUGGAAUUCCAUGUGUAGCGGUGAAAUGCGCAGAGAUAUGGAGGAACACCAGUGGCGAAGGCGACUUUCUGGUCUGUAACUGACGCUGAUGUGCGAAAGCGUGGGGAUCAAACAGGAUUAGAUACCCUGGUAGUCCACGCCGUAAACGAUGAGUGCUAAGUGUUAGGGGGUUUCCGCCCCUUAGUGCUGCAGCUAACGCAUUAAGCACUCCGCCUGGGGAGUACGACCGCAAGGUUGAAACUCAAAGGAAUUGACGGGGACCCGCACAAGCGGUGGAGCAUGUGGUUUAAUUCGAAGCAACGCGAAGAACCUUACCAAAUCUUGACAUCCUUUGACAACUCUAGAGAUAGAGCCUUCCCCUUCGGGGGACAAAGUGACAGGUGGUGCAUGGUUGUCGUCAGCUCGUGUCGUGAGAUGUUGGGUUAAGUCCCGCAACGAGCGCAACCCUUAAGCUUAGUUGCCAUCAUUAAGUUGGGCACUCUAAGUUGACUGCCGGUGACAAACCGGAGGAAGGUGGGGAUGACGUCAAAUCAUCAUGCCCCUUAUGAUUUGGGCUACACACGUGCUACAAUGGACAAUACAAAGGGCAGCGAAACCGCGAGGUCAAGCAAAUCCCAUAAAGUUGUUCUCAGUUCGGAUUGUAGUCUGCAACUCGACUACAUGAAGCUGGAAUCGCUAGUAAUCGUAGAUCAGCAUGCUACGGUGAAUACGUUCCCGGGUCUUGUACACACCGCCCGUCACACCACGA
rnacentral:rRNA from 1 species